UUCACAUUUCCCCAAUAUGUUUCCUUUUGUGGAUGCUCCAGUGGAUCACCAUAAACCUCACUUGUACUAGUAAGCAAGAACUUCGCACCAAUUCUCUUGGCAAGUCCCAACAUGUUAAGAGUACCCAUCACAUUUGUCUUGUAAUCACAAUUAAGGAUCUCAAGUACAUCCAAAUUAAAAAAGAUUAUAAAACAGCACUUAAACAUGUCAGAAGUUCCUUCAUAAUCAAACUCCUAUGCACUGACAAUGCGAAGAAUAAACAAUCUAACUACAUAAUAGUCAAUUACAAGUAACUUCCUAUAACAAUCAUGGAUUGAUAACUCGCAAAACAUGUAAAACAUCAUACUACAACCUGUAAAUCCAUGCACGCCCACAUCGCAAAGAAAAAAAACAUGCUUUUAUACAUAAAGAAUAACGGAAAACAAUCCAAAUACUAAUGUAGACAAAGGAUAUAAUAGUUUUGACGGGAUUAUACUUAUAAUGAACAGGCGAAGCAGGGCAAGCCAAAUGAUAGAUCUGAUCCACUUCUAACAAAAUAGGUUCAACAACAUCAUGCCUAAUAAGCUCAAAUCUAUGAUUCCCAAAA
rnacentral:lncRNA from 1 species